AGAGUUUGAUCCUGGCUCAGAACGAACGCUGGCGGCGUGGAUAAGACAUGCAAGUCGAGCGCUGAUUACAGGGUAGCAAUAUUCUGUGGUCGGAGCGGCGCAAGGGUGCGUAACACGUGGGUAAUCUGCCAUGAAGUUUGGGAUAACCUGCUGAAAGGCGAGCUAAUACCGGAUGUGAAAAUUGGAAGGCAUCUUUUGAUUUUCAAAGCUGGGGACCGUAAGGCCUGGCGCUUCAUGAUGAGCCCGCGGCCUAUCAGCUAGUUGGUAAGGUAACGGCUUACCAAGGCUAAGACGGGUAGCUGGUCUGAGAGGACGACCAGCCACACUGGAACUGAGACACGGUCCAGACACCUACGGGUGGCAGCAGUCGAGAAUUUUUCACAAUGGGCGCAAGCCUGAUGGAGCGACGCCGCGUGGGGGAUGAAUGGCUUCGGCCCGUAAA
rnacentral:rRNA from 1 species